rnacentral:rRNA from 1 species
AGAUGGACCCGCGGCGCAUUAGCUAGUUGGUGGGGUAAUGGCUCACCAAGGCGACGAUGCGUAGCCGACCUGAGAGGGUGAUCGGCCACACUGGGACUGAGACACGGCCCAGACUCCUACGGGAGGCAGCAGUAGGGAAUCUUCCGCAAUGGACGAAAGUCUGACGGAGCAACGCCGCGUGAGUGAUGAAGGUUUUCGGAUCGUAAAGCUCUGUUGUUAGGGAAGAACAAGUGCGAGAGUAACUGCUCGCACCUUGACGGUACCUAACCAGAAAGCCACGGCUAACUACGUGCCAGCAGCCGCGGUAAUACGUAGGUGGCAAGCGUUGUCCGGAAUUAUUGGGCGUAAAGGGCUCGCAGGCGGUUUCUUAAGUCUGAUGUGAAAGCCCCCGGCUCAACCGGGGAGGGUCAUUGGAAACUGGGAAACUUGAGUGCAGAAGAGGAGAGUGGAAUUCCACGUGUAGCGGUGAAAUGCGUAGAGAUGUGGAGGAACACCAGUGGCGAAGGCGACUCUCUGGUCUGUAACUGACGCUGAGGAGCGAAAGCGUGGGGAGCGAACAGGAUUAGAUACCCUGGUAGUCCACGCCGUAAACGAUGAGUGCUAAGUGUUAGGGGGUUUCCGCCCCUUAGUGCUGCAGCUAACGCAUUAAGCACUCCGCCUGGGGAGUACGGUCGCAAGACUGAAACUCAAAGGAAUUGACGGGGGCCCGCACAAGCGGUGGAGCAUGUGGUUUAAUUCGAAGCAACGCGAAGAACCUUACCAGGUCUUGACAUCCUCUGACAACCCUAGAGAUAGGGCUUUCCCUUCGGGGACAGAGUGACAGGUGGUGCAUGGUUGUCGUCAGCUCGUGUCGUGAGAUGUUGGGUUAAGUCCCGCAACGAGCGCAACCCUUGAUCUUAGUUGCCAGCAUUCAGUUGGGCACUCUAAGGUGACUGCCGGUGACAAACCGGAGGAAGGUGGGGAUGACGUCAAAUCAUCAUGCCCCUUAUGACCUGGGCUACACACGUGCUACAAUGGACAGAACAAAGGGCUGCAAGACCGCAAGGUUUAGCCAAUCCCAUAAAUCUGUUCUCAGUUCGGAUCGCAGUCUGCAACUCGACUGCGUGAAGCUGGAAUCGCUAGUAAUCGCGGAUCAGCAUGCCGCGGUGA